rnacentral:rRNA from 1 species
UACGGAGGAUGCGAGCGUUAUCCGGAUUUAUUGGGUUUAAAGGGUGCGUAGGCGGAUAGAUAAGUCAGUGGUGAAAACCUGCAGCUUAACUGUAGACUUGCCGUUGAUACUGUCAGUCUUGAGUAUGGUCAAGGUAGGCGGAAUGUGUAAUGUAGCGGUGAAAUGCUUAGAUAUUACACAGAACACCGAUUGCGAAGGCAGCUUACUGGGCCAUUACUGACGCUGAUGCACGAAAGCGUGGGGAUCGAACAGGAUUAGAAACCCUAGUAGUCC